rnacentral:tRNA from 1 species
GACCGGGUAGCUCAAAUGGUAGAGCAGCCGACAUGUCCCCAGGAGGUUCUGGGUUCGAAUCCCAGUCCGAGCA